UGGUUUGAGUACCCAAUUCCCUUGACCUAAUUAAAGUCAGCAAAGGCCUUCGUGAUGGGAUGUCUAGAAUGGCCCACUGCACACAAACUGCCUUACUUGGAUAUGAAUAUGGAACUUUCCGUGAUGUGGGGCUGUCUCGUCCAGUAGCGCCCGAGGCCGAACAGGAGCCAGUGACAUGAUUAACGUUGCCGCAACAUUCAAACAGAGUGGCGGAGACAAUUAGUUGCACAGAUUCACCGAGCCCCCGGGAGCGCAAACGCAAGUGCUUCUUAUUCCUGUCACGCGACAACGGUGCUCACACACAAUCCUCGCCGGUGGAAAGAUGUAUUCUACAUCAUUUUUUUUUUUCGAAACUUGACCGAGUUUGUAUUUUUACAUUUAUUUUUUUGCAUAUCUGGCAUCACGAUGUACCCCUUCGGAUCGCAAAUUAAUUGAAAGUCAAUCAAGAGCCUCUCUCCGAUGGUCGCGCCGCAGGCAAGUAGUGCACUCCAGUUUGCCUCAAUUGAAAUUCCGCACACUCUCCAGAAUUCUCAGCUAUCAGUUAAUUGAUGAUGGUGACCAUCCCGAGGACUGAUUGUCCGACGAUUGAAGACACAAAACAUCACGUCGUAUAAAAUGAUUUUAACGACUCUGAAAGUGACUGCUCCCGUUUCAGAAGGAUUAAUGAGACUAGACUAGACUGUCAUGAAUGUUUUUAUCUGUCGGGCUGUGGUGGUUUUGAAGUGUGACCUAGAAAACGCAACAACGCGUUAUGUUGAAUUUCCCCGAGGAGAGGAAGGAACUGACAAAGGGAGUCUGUUUCGGCACUUGUGCAAAGUCAGAUGAGAUUCUAAAGCCGAUGACUAAUUAAUGAGCUGACUCAUUUAUAUAUGUGACCGGGGAGAGCGCCGCAAUGUCGCAUGAGCAAGUAACUUUUGUAACGGCAUCGGCUGGAAACUGGAAACUGACAUGCUUGGAUCAUUGGGGACCUAAUUGGGAAGCCCUAAUUGGCUUGAGAUGUGUGAUCAUGAUCCAUUUUCCCAGUCGAUGAGGGGUGAGGGAUGUCGGGACAUUGUUGAGAGCAGACAAUUUGUAUUAUAUAUUAAAUAUACUUUAAAAAGUAUACUUGAGUAUAAGUAUAAAAAGUGUACUUUGUCAUACUAAAUUGGAAACAAUUCAUUUUAAAGGUACAAUGAUCCCUCGCUGCUUGGCGGUUCACUUCUCGCGGUUUCAGUGCAUCGCGGAGUUUUCAAAAGUAUUCAU